UCAAGCCUAUGACGAUUCAAAAUUUGCCUACAUUGCUUGAUUAUCCAAUGAUAUCUAUUUAAAAUAAUUCAUUCCGAGGCUUAC